GACGAACGCUGGCGGCGUGCUUAACACAUGCAAGUCGAACGGAAAGGCCCUGCUUUUGUGGGGUGCUCGAGUGGCGAACGGGUGAGUAACACGUGAGUAACCUGCCCUUGACUUUGGGAUAACUUCAGGAAACUGGGGCUAAUACCGGAUAGGAGCUCCUGCUGCAUGGUGGGGGUUGGAAAGUUUCGGCGGUUGGGGAUGGACUCGCGGGUUAUCAGCUUGUUGGUGGGGUAGUGGCUUACAAAGGCUUUGACGGGUAGCCGGCCUGAGAGGGUGACCGGCCACAUUGGGACUGAGAUACGGCCCAGACGCCUACGGGCGGCAGCAGGGGGGAAUCUUGCGCAAUGGGCGGAAGCCUGAUGCAGAAACGCCGCGUGCGGGAUGACGGCCUUCGGGUUGUAAACCGCUUUCGCCUGUGACGAAGCGUGAGUGACGGUAAUGGGUAAAGAAGCACCGGCUAACUACGUG
rnacentral:rRNA from 1 species